UGGGGAAUAUUGCACAAUGGGCGCAAGCCUGAUGCAGCCAUGCCGCGUGUAUGAAGAAGGCCUUCGGGUUGUAAAGUACUUUCAGCGGGGAGGAAGGGAGUAAAGUUAAUACCUUUGCUCAUUGACGUUACCCGCAGAAGAAGCACCGGCUAACUCCGUGCCAGCAGCCGCGGUAAUACGGAGGGUGCAAGCGUUAAUCGGAAUUACUGGGCGUAAAGCGCACGCAGGCGGGUUGUUAAGUCAGAUGUGAAAUCCCCGGGCUCAACCUGGGAACUGCAUCUGAUACUGGCAAGCUUGAGUCUCGUAGAGGGGGGUAGAAUUCCAGGUGGAGCGGUGAAAUGCGUAGGGAGCUGGAGGAAUACCGGUGGCGAAGGCGGCCCCCUGGACGAAGACUGACGCUCAGGUGCGAAAGCGUGGGGAGCAAACAGG
rnacentral:rRNA from 1 species